GAUGAACGCUGGCGGCGUGCUUAACACAUGCAAGUCGAACGGAAAGGCCCAAGCUUGCUUGGGUACUCGAGUGGCGAACGGGUGAAUAACACGUGGGUGAUCUGCCCUGCACUUCGGGAUAAGCCUGGGAAACUGGGUCUAAUACCGGAUAGGACGAUGGUUUGGAUGCCAUUGUGGAAAGUUUUUUCGGUGUGGGAUGAGCUCGCGGCCUAUCAGCUUGUUGGUGGGGUAAUGGACUACCAAGGCGUCGACGGGUAGCCGGCCUGAGAGGGUGUACGGCGACAUUGGGACUGAGAUAAGGCCCAGACUCCUACGGGAGGGAGCAGUGGGGAAUAUUGCACAAUGGGCGCAAGCCUGAUGCAGCGACGCCGCGUGGGGGAUGACGGCCUUCGGGUUGUAAACUCCUUUCGCUAGGGACGAAGCGUUUUUGUGACGGUACCUGGAGAAGAAGCACCGGCUAACUACGUG
rnacentral:rRNA from 1 species